rnacentral:rRNA from 1 species
GAUCAAGCGUCAAAAGGGCAUCCGGGGGAUGUCUUGGCGGUAAGAGGCGAUGAAAGACGUGGCACUCUGCGAUAAGCACCGGGGAGGCGAGAGCACCCUUUGAUCCGGUGAUUUCUGAAUGGGGAAACCCAUCUCCGAGAUGUUGGAUAAUUCGAGCGCUUCGGCGCUCGACCUGUCUAACAUUUCAAUAGUGAGGUAUUUUAAUCUGAAUACAUAGGGUUAAAAAGCGAACCCGGGGAAUUGAAACAUCUAAGUACCCGGAGGAAAGGACAUCAAUUGAGACUCCGUUAGUAGUGGCGAGCGAACGCGGACCAGGCCUGGUCUGAAAUAAGGAGAAGUAUCUGGGAAGGUACGCCAUAGUGGGUGAUAGCCCCGUAUCCGUAAAAUGAAGACCUUUUAGAGUAGGGCGGGACACGUGAAAUCCUGUCUGAACAUGGGGGGACCACCCUCCAAGCCUAAGUACUCCUUACCGACCGAUAGUGAACAAGUACCGUGAGGGAAUGAUGAAAAGAACCCCGAUGAGGGGAGUGAAACAGAUCCUGAAACCGGAUGCCUACAAGCUGAUGGAGCUCUUCGGAGUGACAUCGUACCUUUUGUAUAAUGGGUCAGCGACUUAGUGUUGCGUGCAAGCUUAAGCCGAUAGGUGUAGGCACAGCGAAAGCGAGUCUUAAUAGGGCGAAUGAGUACGUAGCAUUAGACCCGAAGGCAAGUGAUCUAGAUAUGGGCAGGCUGAAGGUGCAGUAACAUGCACUGGAGGGCCGAACCGUUGAGCGUUGAAAAGCUCUCGGAUGACCUGUGUCUAGGGGUGAAAGGCCAAUCAAACUUGCUGAUAGCUGGUUCUCCGCGAAAUCUAUUUAGGUAGAGCGUCACGAUUAGACUCUGGGGGGUAGAGCACUGAAUGGGCUAGGGGUCCUCACCGGAUUACCAAACCUUCUCAAACUCCGAAUACCCAGAAGUUAUGCGUGGCAGACACACGGCGGGUGCUAACGUCCGUCGUGAAAAGGGAAACAACCCAGACCGCCAAUUAAGGCCCCUAAGUAAUAGCUAAGUGCGAAACGAUGUGGAGGUGCUGAGACAAUCAGGAGGUUGGCUUAGAAGCAGCCAUCCUUUAAAGAAAGCGUAACAGCUCACUGAUCAAGCGCCUCUGCGCGGAAAAUGUAUCGGGACUAAAGUUAUUCGCCGAAAUUGCGGACUCGAAAGAGUGGUAGCGGAGCGUUCCGUAAGCCUGUGAAGGUGAACCGUGAGGUUUGCUGGAGGUAUCGGAAGUGAGAAUGCUGACAUGAGUAGCGACAAAGAGGGUGAGAGACCCUCUCGCCGAAAGACCAAGGGUUCCUGCGUAAAGCUAAUCUGCGCAGGGUUAGCCGGCCCCUAAGGCAAGGCCGAAAGGCGUAGUCGAUGGGAACCACGUUAAUAUUCGUGGGCCAAGGGAUGAGUGACGGAUUUCGAAAGUUGUAUUCCCUUAUUGGAUUGGGAAUGCAGCCUGGAAGUUCCUGGAAAUAGCCUCCCUAUUAGACCGUACCCGAAACCGACACAGGUGGUCAGGUAGAGCAUACCAAGGCGCUUGAGAGAACUAUGUUGAAGGAACUCGGCAAAUUACCUCCGUAACUUCGGGAGAAGGAGGCCUCAAUCUGGGCAACCAGGUCUGAGGGGCACAAAACUGGGGGUUGCGACUGUUUAUCAAAAACACAGGGCUCUGCGAAGCCGUAAGGCGACGUAUAGGGUCUGACGCCUGCCCGGUGCCGGAAGGUUAAAAGGAGAAGUGCAAGCUUUG